GACGAACGCGGGCGGCGUGCUUAACACAUGCAAGUCGAACGCUGAAGCCUAGCUUUUGUGGGUGGAUGAGUGGCGAACGGGUGAGUAACACGUGAGUAACCUGCCCCCUUCUUUGGGAUAACGCCCGGAAACGGGUGCUAAUACUGGAUACUCACUGAUCUUCGCAUGGGGGUUGGUGGAAAGGUUUUUUCUGGUGGGGGAUGGGCUCGCGGCCUAUCAGCUUGUUGGUGGGGUGAUGGCCUACCAAGGCUUUGACGGGUAGCCGGCCUGAGAGGGUGACCGGUCACAUUGGGACUGAGAUACGGCCCAGACUCCUACGGGAGGCAGCAGUGGGGAAUAUUGCACAAUGGGCGAAAGCCUGAUGCAGCGACGCCGCGUGAGGGAUGGAGGCCUUCGGGCUGUAAACCUCUUUCGCUCAUGGUCAAGCCGCAACAUUGGUUGUGGUGAGGGUAGUGGGUAAAGAAGCGCCGGCUAACUACGUGCCAGCAGCCGCGGUAAUACGUAGGGCGCGAGCGUUGUCCGGAAUUAUUGGGCGUAAAGGGCUUGUAGGCGGUUGGUCGCGUCUGCCGUGAAAUCCUCUGGCUUAACUGGGGGCGUGCGGUGGGUACGGGCUGACUUGAGUGCGGUAGGGGAGACUGGAACUCCUGGUGUAGCGGUGGAAUGCGCAGAUAUCAGGAAGAACACCGGUGGCGAAGGCGGGUCUCUGGGCCGUUACUGACGCUGAGGAGCGAAAGCGUGGGGAGCGAACAGG
rnacentral:rRNA from 1 species